rnacentral:lncRNA from 1 species
AAAGAUAAAAAUAAUAAAAAAAAUUAUUUAUUUAGUCCCUAUACAUUAAUACUAUGAAAAAUGAUAUGUCUCAAGCAUGAAAAAUUAACUAAAAGUCACGAAAAUUUUUCAUUAAGUUGGAAUCUUUAGACAAAAGGAUCAGAAUUUGCACUACAUAUGACUCGAUAAUGCUUAAAUGCCAAGAUUUGGCUCAAUGCUUUGAAAGCCAACAAUAUGACAGAACAUGAAGUGACAAUAUCCGAACCCUUCUAUCUAACACAAAUCACUACUUCAAUCAUAUUCCAAAUUUCUAGACCUGUAGGCGGUAAGUAUGAAAUUUUGAUAUAUUUAAGUUUUAAAGAUAUUUUUACUAUGGUUAUUUAACAUUCAAUUCGAUCUUAUCAAAUCUGGUUGUCUUUUUUCGACAAGAUACUUAUGAAAGGUCGGAGAAACUAGAGAUGGCAAUUCUAGACUUCCAAACUAGUUUAGAAGUCCCGAAGACGAAAAGUCUGAAAUACGAUCUGGGCAACGUUCUAACAUUAAAGUCAACUACCAGUGAUCAAAACAACAAAUCUCAUAAAAAUAAUAAAUAAAUAAUAUUUACAUAAUAGAUUUAACAUAAU